AUGAAGAACACCUGGGACUGGAACCUGGAGGAGGACAUGUGCAACUUGUGUGGUUGUUGCACGGGCUCCAACACGCUCUUUGAGAAAAAAGUACUAGUAGAAUUGAGGUUUAAUGCACUUUCUUCCCCGUCUUCCACUCUUCUUCCCCCUCUCUUCUUCUUCCUUCUCUCUUCCCCAUCGUCGGUCGCACACCAUUUCCCCCCGCUCACUGCUCGCCCGCCCGCGCUAUCUUCCUUGGUAGCUCGCGCGUACCAUAUCCCCCCGCUCACUGCUCGGCCACACGAGGAGAAGCUUCUUCGCUCGCCCGCCCGAAUCCACUUCCCCGCUGGCUCAGUUGAUAUGAGAACAGUAGUAUACCAUAUAACUGGAAUUAACCGAUGCAAGUUGAAGAAGGAUUGGCUGGUGCUGCCGGCUGGUGUCAAGUUCGAUCCCAUAGAUCAGGAGCUGAUCGAGCACCUUGAGGCCAAAGUGAGUGCUGACAGCGCGAGAUAUCACCCUCUCAUCGAUUUUUUCAUACCAACCAUCGAUAGCGAGCACCGCAUAUGCUACACCCAUCCUGAGAAACUUCCAGGUAUCACACUGAGUGGCCUAAGCAAGCAUUUUUUCCAGCGCAAUUCUAGGGCGUUCAAAAGGGGCACGUGGACGCGUCGCAAGAUACAGUCGGAGUGCGGCAUGCACGCGAUGUGGCACAACACCGGCAAUACCUUGCUGGUGAUGGUCAACGGCCGACAGACGGGCAGCAAAAAGGUUCUGGUGCUGCACACCAACAAGAACUUCGACCAGCAGAGGACCAACUGGGUGAUGCACCAGUACCACCUUGGGGACCUGGAGCAAGAGAAGGAGCGGGAGCUGGUCCUCUGCAAGAUUUUCUACCAGACGAACACUAGGGCCAGGAGUAAAAAGAUUAUAAGUUAG
rnacentral:rRNA from 1 species